GAAAGUAAUGUCUGCUGAAAGAACCAGACGAGAGUCAUCAGUUUUUAUAAACGUCAACAGGUUUCCUAGCACAAUAGUUCGUUUAAAUGUACACAAGGUAGGUUACAUAUAUAUCUUUACAAAACACCCCAUAUAUCCAGAAACCUCUUCGACACAAAGCAAAUCAAGUUUACAUCAUCCUGCUACUCUCCCUUGAAGAUUCGUCUGCAACCUUAGCUUGCAACACAUCUCAAUCAUACAUUCCUUCCUGCUCCCAAACAUCUACAAGAAAAUCUACCAUUUCAGCAAGUGGGAUACGCUUGGGAAAUGGCUUGUUGCUCCCCAGCAGACUAUCAUAAGUAGCAUUCCAACUUAAUUUGGGUUCAAGAAGCUGUUUUGGUUGCUUCUCCGGACUUUUUCGUCCGACCCACUGCUGUCUGAUUUGGUUCCAGCGAAUAAAUCCAUGAUUUACAAAUUCAGAAUGGUUGUUUGUAUUUGCAGCGCCAUGAGCAUCGGGUGCCUGAGUAGAUGUACUAAUUGACGAGAUGCUUCCUUGUGAUUGAGCUGCACUGUAGUUGUCCAUGUCACCCGUACUGGUACUCCAAAAGUCCGCCGACAGUUUAGCUUUAUGUACUAAAUGAUCUAGAUGUUUCUUCUCCUUCAGAUGCUCAUGAACUGAAGAUGUUAAUUUGGUUUUACUAACGGACCCCAGACAACCACCCAUGCAUGCGAAUGCGAUGAAUUGGAUGAACCAAGCUGAAAUAGAUCCGAUUUGAAACAAUGCUGCCACUAUAAACAACGAACAGACGAAAACAAAAAAUUCACAAGGCCUUUAAGAUUGAGAGAGAAAGAGCGAUCACUCUCCGGGAGAAAACCUCCAGAAAGUGGAUGCGGUGCCGAAACGGAG
rnacentral:misc_RNA from 1 species